GCAUCCGUAGCCGGCCCUGUCCGUCUUCCGUUAAAUCUAACGGCCCAACCGUUAGGCUGCGGAAGAUACCACAGGGCUAGGGGGCGGGAGAGGUGGACGGUACUCCAAGGGUAGGGGUAAAAUCCUCUGAUCCUUGGAAGACCACCGGUGGCGAAGGCGGUCCACCAGAACGCGCCCGACGGUGAGGGAUGAAAGCUGGGGGAGCGAACCGGAUUAGAUACCCGGGUAGUCCCAGCCGUAAACGAUGCGAGCUAGGUGACAGAAUGGCCUAAGAGCCAUUCUGCUGCCGCAGGGAAGCCGUUAAGCUCGCCGCCUGGGGAGUACGGACGCAAGUCUGAAACUUAA
rnacentral:rRNA from 1 species